CGGCAAGUAACUCAGUGGGAGAGCAGUCGUUGACCGACUUGUCGUGGGUUCGAUUCCCACCUUGCCAG
rnacentral:tRNA from 1 species